rnacentral:rRNA from 1 species
UGGGGAAUAUUGCACAAUGGGGGAAACCCUGAUGCAGCAACGCCGCGUGAAGGAUGACGGUCUUCGGAUUGUAAACUUCUAUCGAUGGGGAUAAAAAAAAUGAUAGUACCCAAGUAAGAAGCCCCGGCUAACUACGUGCCAGCAGCCGCGGUAAUACGUAGGGGGCAAGCGUUAUCCGGAAUUACUGGGCGUAAAGGGUGAGUAGGCGGCAUGGUAAGUCAUGUGUGAAAUCCCUAAGCUUAACUUAGGGACUGCACAAGAAACUACUAAGCUAGAGUGCAGGAGAGGUAAGCGGAAUUCCUAGUGUAGCGGUGAAAUGCGUAGAUAUUAGGAAGAACACCGGUGGCGAAGGCGGCUUACCGGACUGCAACUGACGCUGAGUCACGAAAGCGUGGGGAGCGAACA